CUUACAUAUCACACCAAGAUCAACAACUCGCUCCUUCAGCACAAACGACCAGUUGAAAUGAGGAAUACCCAUGUGUUGCUUAUGUCCUUGGUCUUACUCCUGCUAGCAUCAGAUGUGGUAGUGGAGGCAUCAAGAUAUUCUAGCAUUAAAGAAUUCGUAUGUGUGGAGAAAAUUUUCCCACCUCGAACAUGUGAUACCAAUGCUUGCGAAGAGUCAUGCUACAAACGUACAAGGCAAUACAAAUCUGGCGUGUGUGUUGCUGAGGGGUGCAAGUGCAAGUUAUGCAUAUAUCAGCCUCCGGCCAUCCAUAAUGAACAAAUGGGUUCUAACUAGCUAAGAUAGGAUUAUUUUUUGAGCAAAUAAUGUGGCAGAAUCACAAAUGGUGUAGAGGAAAGGUUUUUCACUCAUAUGAGCCAUAUGAAGAGUGAUGAAUUUAGCCUU